rnacentral:rRNA from 1 species
CUACGGGAGGCAGCAGUGAGGAAUAUUGCACAAUGGGCGCAAGCCUGAUGCAGCAACGCCGCGUGCGGGAGGAAGGCCUUCGGGUCGUAAACCGCUUUUUGGGGGGACGAGUGAGGACGGUACCCCUAGAAUAAGUCUCGGCUAACUACGUGCCAGCAGCCGCGGUAAAACGUAGGAGGCAAGCGUUAUCCGGAUUCACUGGGCGUAAAGCGCGUGUAGGUGGCUCGCUAAGUCGAGUGUUAAAGCCCCUGGCUUAACUGGGGGAGGCCAUUCGAUACUGGUGGGCUUGAGGGCAAAAGAGGAAGGCGGAAUUCCCGGUGUAGCGGUGGAAUGCGUAGAGAUCGGGAGGAACACCUGUGGCGAAAGCGGCCUUCUGGGUUGCGCCUGACACUGAGACGCGAAAGCGUGGGGAGCAAACGGGAUUAGAAACCCUAGUAGUCC